rnacentral:rRNA from 1 species
UACGGAGGGGGCUAGCGUUGUUCGGAAUUACUGGGCGUAAAGCGCACGUAGGCGGCUUUGUAAGUUAGAGGUGAAAAGCCCAGGGCUUAGCCCUGGAAUUGCCUUUAAGACUGCAUCGCUAGAAUCGUGGAGAGGUGAGUGGAAUUCCGAGUGUAGAGGUGAAAUUCGUAGAUAUUCGGAAGAACACCAGUGGCGAAGGCGACUCACUGGACACGUAUUGACGCUGAGGCGCGGACAGCGUGGGGGAGCAAACGAGGA